UCACAAAUCAGAAUUCCCUCCCUUACUCUCCUUCUAAUAAACCCUAAUCGUUGUAGUUCCUCUCUACCUCUCCGUGCGGUGCUUUGACAGACCAUCAUAGCCGGUGAUUCUCUCUCUUUUCUCAUCUCUUAUUCUCUCCUUUCUUACUCCUCUUCUCGUCGGUGAUUCGAAUCACGGAAAGCAACAGCGAAGCAGUUGGUCUACAAUCAAGCUAUGAUGGAGUUCGCGAACCUCUGUCGCAGCCUCAAUGAUCUCAACUCUCAACUUCAAACAAAGUUUAUCCAGGUUAUACAGGGACAUACAACAUUUGAACAGUUGAUGAGAAGGAAUGAAGAACUUCAACAAAUUAGCUAGAGAAUUCACUCAAUGCCUCCAAAUUAUUGAUGUCAUCACAUUUUGGAAAUAGCUGGCCAAGAAGAUCAUCGUAUUGGAGUAAUUAACAAUGCGGCUCACGCGAGUGCUCAUUGAUCAUUGUUUCUGUAAUAGAUUUUGCCUUUUUGUCCGGUUAUCUAGAUUUUAC